GAUGAACGCUGGCGGCGUGCCUAAUACAUGCAAGUCGAGCGAAUGGAUUAAGAGCUUGCUCUUAUGAAGUUAGCGGCGGACGGGUGAGUAACGCGUGGGUAACCUGCCCAUAAGACUGGGAUAACUCCGGGAAACCGGGGCUAAUACCGGAUAACAUUUUGAACCGCAUGGUUCGAAAUUGAAAGGCGGCUUCGGCUGUCACUUAUGGAUGGACCCGCGUCGCAUUAGCUAGUUGGUGAGGUAACGGCUCACCAAGGCAACGAUGCGUAGCCCACCUGAGAGGGUGAUCGGCCACACUGUGACUGAGACACGGCCCAGACUCCUACGGGAGGCAGCAGUAGGGAAUCUUCCGCAAUGGACGAAAGUCUGACGGAGCAACGCCGCGUGAGUGAUGAAGGCUUUCGGGUCGUAAAACUCUGUUGUUAGGGAAGAACAAGUGCUAGUUGAAUAAGCUGGCACCUUGACGGUACCUAACCAGAAAGCCACGGCUAACUACGUGCCAGCCGCCGCCGUAA
rnacentral:rRNA from 1 species